rnacentral:rRNA from 1 species
GCUCAGAUUGAACGCUGGCGGCAGGCCUAACACAUGCAAGUCGAGCGGAUGACAGGAGCUUGCUCCUGAAUUCAGCGGCGGACGGGUGAGUAAUGCCUAGGAAUCUGCCUGGUAGUGGGGGACAACGUUUCGAAAGGAACGCUAAUACCGCAUACGUCCUACGGGAGAAAGCAGGGGACCUUCGGGCCUUGCGCUAUCAGAUGAGCCUAGGUCGGAUUAGCUAGUUGGUGAGGUAAUGGCUCACCAAGGCGACGAUCCGUAACUGGUCUGAGAGGAUGAUCAGUCACACUGGAACUGAGACACGGUCCAGACUCCUACGGGAGGCAGCAGUGGGGAAUAUUGGACAAUGGGCGAAAGCCUGAUCCAGCCAUGCCGCGUGUGUGAAGAAGGUCUUCGGAUUGUAAAGCACUUUAAGUGGGAGGAAGGGCAUUAACCUAAUACGUUAGUGUUUUGACGUUACCGACAGAAUAAGCACCGGCUAACUCUGUGC